rnacentral:rRNA from 1 species
GCGCGAAAACUUUACAAUGCUGGCAACAGCGAUAAGGGGACCUCGAGUGCCAGGUUACAAAUCUGGCUGUCGAGAUGCCUAAAAAGCAUUUCAUAGCAAGGGCCGGGCAAGACCGGUGCCAGCCGCCGCGGUAACACCGGCGGCUCGAGUGGUAACCGCUAUUAUUUGGUCUAAAGGGUCUGUAGCCGGCCGAAUAAGUCUUUUGGGAAAUCUGGCUGCUCAACAGUCAGGCUAUCAGGAGAUACUGUUCGGCUCGAGGCCGGGAGAGGUGAGAGGUACUUCAGGGGUAGGGGUGAAAUCUUGUAAUCCUUGAAGGACCACCAGUGGCGAAGGCGUCUCACCAGAACGGGCCUGACGGCAAGGGACGAAAGCUAGGGGCACGAACCGGAUUAGAUACCCGGGUAGUCCUAGCCGUAAACGAUACUCGCUAGGUGUCGGCCACGGUGCGACCGUGGUCGGUGCCGUAGGGAAGCCGUGAAGCGAGCCACCUGGGAAGUACGGCCGCAAGGCUGAAACUUAAAGGAAUUGGCGGGGGAGCAACG